rnacentral:rRNA from 1 species
GAGUUUGAUCGUGGCUCAGAGUGAACGCUGGCGGCAGGCCUAACACAUGCAAGUCGAACGGCAGCACAGAGGAGCUUGCUCCUUGGGUGGCGAGUGGCGGACGGGUGAGGAAUGCAUCGGAAUCCUGCCGUAUUUGUGGGGGAUAACGUAGGGAAACUUACGCUAAUACCGCAUACGUUCCUACGGAGAAAGUGGGGACCUUCGGGCCUCUACGCAGAUAGAUGAGCCGAUGCCGGAUUAGCUAGUUGGCGGGGUAAAGGCCACCAAGGCGACGAUCCGUAGCUGGUCUGAGAGGAUGAUCAGCCACACUGGAACUGAGACACGG